rnacentral:rRNA from 1 species
CGGCGGACGGGUGAGUAACACGUGGGUAACCUGCCUGUAAGACUGGGAUAACUCCGGGAAACCGGAGCUAAUACCGGAUAGUUCCUUGAACCGCAUGGUUCAAGGAUGAAAGACGGUUUCGGCUGUCACUUACAGAUGGACCCGCGGCGCAUUAGCUAGUUGGUGGGGUAAUGGCUCACCAAGGCGACGAUGCGUAGCCGACCUGAGAGGGUGAUCGGCCACACUGGGACUGAGACACGGCCCAGACUCCUACGGGAGGCAGCAGUGGUCA